rnacentral:rRNA from 1 species
UACAGGGGGUGCAAACGUUGCUCGGAAUCAUUGGGCGUAAAGCGCGUGUAGGCGGCCGUGCAAGUCGGGUGUGAAAGCCCUCGGCUCAACCGAGGAAGUGCGCCCGAAACUGCAUGGCUUGAGUACCGGAGAGGAUGGCGGAAUUCCCCAAGUAGAGGUGAAAUUCGUAGAUAUGGGGAGGAACACCGGUGGCGAAGGCGGCCAUCUGGACGGAUACUGACGCUGAGACGCGAAAGCGUGGGGAGCAAACAGG